ACGCUCGACACCUACAGGAGGCAGCAGUCGGGAAUAUUGCGCAAUGGAGGAAACUCUGACGCAGUGACGCCGCGUAUAGGAAGAAGGUUUUCGGAUUGUAAACUAUUGUCGUUAGGGAAGAAAAAGGACAGUACCUAAGGAGGAAGCUCCGGCUAACUACGUGCCAGCAGCCGCGGUAAUCUGAGCGGGCUGGCAAGGC
rnacentral:rRNA from 1 species